rnacentral:rRNA from 1 species
AAAGAUUAAGCCAUGCAUGUCUCAGUAUGAACUAUCUAUUGUGAAACCGCGAAUGGCUCAUUACAACAGCCAUAGUUUACUGGAUAUAUUCCAUUACAUGGAUAACUGUGGUAAUUCUACAGCUAAUACACGCAUCAAAACCCUGACUUCGGAAAGGGUGCGUUAGUUACUUCAAACUGACUAGACUUCGGUCUGGCUCCAAGUGAAAUUGAACUAUUUAGCUGAUCGCACGGUCUAAGCACCGGCGACAUAUCCUUCAAAUGUCUGCCUUAUCAACUGUCGAUGGUAGAUUAUGCGCCUACCAUGGUUGUAACGGGUAACGGAGAAUCAGGGUUUGAUUCCGGAGAGGGAGCCUGAGAAAUGGCUACCACAUCCAAGGAAGGCAGCAGGCACGCAAAUUACCCACUCCCGGCACGGGGAGGUAGUGACGGAAAAUAACAAGCUGGUCUCUUUGAGUUCCGGCAUUGUAAUGGGAACAACUUAAAUCAUUUAUCGAGGAUCUAUUGGAGGGCAAGUCUGGUGCCAGCAGCCGCGGUAAUUCCAGCUCCAAUAGCGUAUAUUAAAGUUGUUGCGGUUAAAAAGCUCGUAGUUGGAUCUACGAUCAAGGCUUGUGGUCGUCCUUCUCGGAUGUACUGCUUAGUCUGGUCGAAUUAUCUGGUGAACGAUUGAUGCUCUUCACUGAGUGUCUCUAGUUGCUGGAACGUUUACCUUGAAAAAAUUGAAGUGCUCAAAGCAGGCUUACGCCUGAACAUUGUUGCAUGGGAUAAUGAAUAGGACUUCGGUUCUAUUUUGUUGGUUUCGGAACGCGAAGUAAUGAUUAAUAGGGACAGACGGGGGCAUUCGUACUGCUGCGUUAGAGGUGAAAUUCUUGGAUCGCAGCAUGACGAACAACUGCGAAAGCAUUUGCCAAGAAUGUUUUCAUUAAUCAAGAACGAUAGUUAGAGGUUCGAAGGCGAUCAGAUACCGCCCUAGUUCUAACCGUAAACGAUGCCAACUAGCAAUCCGUCGGCGUUAAUUCUGACUCGACGGGCGGCUGCCCGGAAACGAUAAGUUUUUCGGUUCCGGGGGAAGUAUGGUUGCAAAUCCGAAACUUAAAGGAAUUGACGGAAGGGCACCACCAGGAGUGGAGCCUGCGGCUUAAUUUGACUCAACACGGGAAAACUCACCCGGCCCGGACACUGUAAGGAUUGACAGAUUGAAAGCUCUUUCACGAUUCAGUGGGUGGUGGUGCAUGGCCGUUCUUAGUUGGUGGAGCGAUUUGUCUGGUUAAUUCCGAUAACGAGCGAGA